GUCCUUGUAGCUUAACACAAAGCAUGACACUGAAGAUGCCAAGAUGGUUUACCCAACCCAAGGACA
rnacentral:tRNA from 1 species